UACGUAGGGCGCAAGCGUUGUCCGGAAUUAUUGGGCGUAAAGGGCUCGUAGGCGGUCCAUCGCGUCGGGAGUGAAAAGCUGGGGCUUAACCCCAGUCCUGCUUCCGAUACGGGUGGACUAGAGGUAGGUAGGGGAGAUCGGAAUUCCAGGUGUAGCGGUGAAAUGCGUAGAUAUCUGGAGGAAUACCGGUGGCGAAGGCGGCAUCCUGGACCAACACUGACGCUGAGGCGCGAAAGCUAGGGGAGCAAACGGG
rnacentral:rRNA from 1 species